CCUACGGGUGGCAGCAGUGGGGAAUAUUGGACAAUGGGGGCAACCCUGAUCCAGCCAUGCCGCGUGUGUGAAGAAGGCCCUCGGGUUGUAAAGCACUUUCAGUGAGGAAGAACGCCUGGUGGUUAAUACCCAUCAGGAAAGACAUCACUCACAGAAGAAGCACCGGCUAACUCCGUGCCAGCAGCCGCGGUAAUACGGAGGGUGCGAGCGUUAAUCGGAAUUACUGGGCGUAAAGCGCGCGUAGGUGGCUUGAUAAGCCGGUUGUGAAAGCCCCGGGCUCAACCUGGGAACGGCAUCCGGAACUGUCAAGCUAGCGUGCAGGAGAGGAAGGUAGAAUUCCCGGUGUAGCGGUGAAAUGCGUAGAGAUCGGGAGGAAUACCAGUGGCGAAGGCGGCCUUCUGGACUGACACUGACCCUGAGGUGCGAAAGCGUGGGUAGCAAACAGGAUUAGAUACCCCUGUAGUC
rnacentral:rRNA from 1 species